UGGCCGAGUAAGUUCGUCGGGAAAUCCACUCGCCUAACGAGUGGGCGUCCGGCGAAAACUGCUCGGCUUGGGACCGGGAGACCUGAGGGGUACGUCCGGGGUAGGAGUGAAAUCCCGUAAUCCUGGACGGACCACCGGUGGCGAAAGCGCCUCAGGAGAACGGAUCCGACAGUGAGGGACGAAAGCUAGGGUCUCGAACCGGAUUAGAUACCCGGGUAGUCCUAGCCGUAAACGAUGAUCGCUAGGUGUGGCGCAGGCUACGAGCCUGCGCUGUGCCGUAGGGAAGCCGUGAAGCGAUCCGCCUGGGAA
rnacentral:rRNA from 1 species